rnacentral:tRNA from 1 species
UUAAUAGAAGCCAAAAUCAGAGGCAAUUUAUUGUUAAUAAAUUAAUUGGCAUGUUUGCCCUAUUAAA